rnacentral:rRNA from 1 species
CCUACGGGAGGCAGCAGUGAGGAAUAUUGGGCAAUGGAGGCAACUCCUGAUCCAGCCAUGCCGCGUGCAGGAAGACUGCCCUAUGGGUUGUAAACUGCUUUUAUACAGGAAGAAACACUCCUACGUGUAGCAGCUUGACGGUACUGUAAGAAUAAGGAUCGGCUAACUCCGUGCCAGCAGCCGCGGUAAUACGGAGGAUCCAAGCGUUAUCCGGAAUCAUUGGGUUUAAAGGGUCCGUAGGUGGAUAAUUAAGUCAGAGGUGAAAUCCUGCAGCUCAACUGUAGAAUUGCCUUUGAUACUGGUUAUCUUGAGUUAUUAUGAAGUAGUUAGAAUAUGUAGUGUAGCGGUGAAAUGCAUAGAUAUUACAUAGAAUACCAAUUGCGAAGGCAGAUUACUAAUAAUAUACUGACACUGAUGGACGAAAGCGUGGGGAGCGAACAGGAUUAGAUACCCUGGUAG